CCUGGUCCUGCCCCGCCCCUCCCGGGCUGUCCAUCACCACCCCUCCGGCCCCCGCCGGAAAGAGGACCUGGAGGAAAAGACCCCUCAGGCUCCGGCCGCAGCUCCACCCGCAGGGGCCGUGGGAAGCGGGCGCUCCGGGGAGGAUGCCGCGCCCAGUAGGGGUCGACCCGAAGAGGGGGUCCCCUCCGGGGGGGGACCUGCCCGGGGCUGGGCGAGGGUAUGAGUUCCCGGCUCCCCCACAUCCAUCACCCUCAGGCCACGCUGAGCUUCCUGGACGCGGAAGCCUAGGCCCCAGCACCGCUGCACCUGCCGGCCGGGCACCCCACUAACGCGGCAUCCCGAGAAGGGCCGACUUCCAGGACGACGCAGCUGCGUGCACACAGCCCCCCUUGGCCCGGUGCGGCGGCCCGCAGGGGAGAACGAGCUUGCAGGGUGCGGGUGCGGGCCGCUGGGGCCGAUCUGGCGUCGCAGAACCCGGGGUCCACACCGUCCAGGCUGCGGCCGCGACGACCCCCUGCCAGGCGCCGGUCUCCUCCGGGAGGGCUCCAGCCCGCGCCACCUCCAGGCACAGGGCGCCCUCGUAACUCCCAAUGAAAGUCCUGCGGGAAACGGUUCCCGACCUCGCCAGGCUGGGGGCAGAAGCGACGGGAUGACGCGGAUUGUAAUCGGAAGCCAUCCAGGGGCCUCACUCAGAGCAGAAAGUCAUCACGUGGACUCAACGAAUGCCCUUAGCUGUCUUCCUGGUGGACCAGUGACCACACCUCCCACUCCAGGGGCACUGGCAAAGCAGGGCACACACCCAGGUCAAUGCCAGGAGCCGGAUCUCCCAGUAAGACUAGGGGCACUGGUAGGAGCAUCAAGCAGGGGAUCCAGACCCUGCCUGCUGUCUGCAAAGAAGGUGGUACCCCACGGCCAGCUGGUCCAGCUCAGGCACAAAGUAUUCUUGGCCCUCAGGCCAGGGUCCUGACUGCCUCCGGUGGACAGAAGAGCAAGAGCGUCUGGAAAGCAACAGUGAGCUUGUCUCCAGCAUCCACAACAGCUCCAGUGCCGGGCUUACAUAUGGCAGCAUGCAGCCUUCCCACAGCUGCCCUGUGACCUGGGUACUGAACCUCUCCCACCACCUCCCUCAGCCCCCACCCCCAGGUUAUGAAUGGGCUCUCCCGAUUAAAAGCAUGUUCUCACUGCUUGGAACAUGGUAGGUGCCUUAUAAAUGAUGGGUGGGUAGAUGGAUAGAUGGAUGAAUGGUUUUCCUAACAAAAUGGAGGACUUUGAUGAAUUGUCAUUAAUUCUCAUUGAUCUUCAGUAUUUUAUACUUCUGUAGCAAUUGGGAAUAGAAACUCUUUUAAAAAUGACAUGUCUUUAGGAUAUUUUUUCAUAACUACCUAGCACCCAGCAAUUCAUCACACUUAUUUUUCAUCUAAUAGGUCUUUUAUUGUUUUUGCUUUUUAAAUCUCUUUAGAUUUUCUAAGGAAGGUGAUGGGUUUGAUUAUUGAUUGAACUGAAUUUGAAUUGGAGGCAGAAAGCCUCAGUGGAGGAGUCUAACAGGCACCUCAGCACACACUACCGAUUAGUUAAAGGUGAUGAUAAAAUCAGGCAGCAUGCACAGAACAGAAAGGAGCCUGAAGGAAGGAACCUUGAGACACUUACAUGGGAAGGAUAAGAGGUGUGUAAGAACAAGUCAAGACAGAGAAGGGGUAGUUAGAGAGUCAGAAAAUAGAGACAUCUCCUGGAAGCCACAGAGUGAAGAGAGCAAGGUCAGGAAAGACUUUAAUUUGCAACUAGAAAAACACUGGUCAUUACAUUCUGCCAUUAAAAUUUGGCAAUUAAA
rnacentral:lncRNA from 1 species